CACCGCGGUUAGACGAGAGGCCCUAGUUGAUAAUUUAACGGCGUAAAGGGUGGUUAAGGAUAAAUAACAAAUAAAGCCAAAUGGCCCCUUGGCCGUCAUACGCUUCUAGAUGUCUGAAGCCCUAACACGAAAGUAGCUUUAAUAUCACCUGACCCCACGAAAGCUAAGAAA
rnacentral:rRNA from 1 species